rnacentral:rRNA from 1 species
GACGAACGCUGGCGGCGUGCCUAAUACAUGCAAGUCGAGCGAAGUUUUUCUGGUGCUUGCCCUAGAAAAACUUAGCGGCGAACGGGUGAGUAACACGUAAAGAACCUGCCUCAUAGACUGGGACAACUAUUGGAAACGAUAGCUAAUACCGGAUAACAGUAUUUCUCGCAUGAGAGAUAUUUAAAAGUUGGUUAUGCUAACACUAUGAGAUGGCUUUGCGGUGCAUUAGCUAGUUGGUGGGGUAAAGGCCCACCAAGGCGACGAUGCAUAGCCGACCUGAGAGGGUGAUCGGCCACACUGGGACUGAGACGCGGCCCAGACUCCUACGGGAGGCAGCAGUAGGGAAUCUUCCGCAAUGGGCGAAAGCCUGACGGAGCAACGCCGCGUGAGUGAAGAAGGAUUUCGGUUCGUAAAGCUCUGUUGUUAGGGAAGAAUGGAUAUGUAGUAACUAUACAUGUAAGAGACGGUACCUAACCAGAAAGCCACGGCUAACUACGUG